rnacentral:rRNA from 1 species
AAUCCAUAGGUUAAUGAGGCGAACCGGGGGAACUGAAACAUCUAAGUACCCCGAGGAAAAGAAAUCAACCGAGAUUCCCCCAGUAGCGGCGAGCGAACGGGGAGGAGCCCAGAGCCUGAAUCAGCAUGUGUGUUAGUGGAAGCGUCUGGAAAGGCGCGCGAUACAGGGUGACAGCCCCGUACACAAAAGCGCAUGUGCUGUGAGCUCGAUGAGUAGGGCGGGACACGUGGUAUCCUGUCUGAAUAUGGGGGGACCAUCCUCCAAGGCUAAAUACUCCUGACUGACCGAUAGUGAACCAGUACCGUGAGGGAAAGGCGAAAAGAACCCCGGCGAGGGGAGUGAAAAAGAACCUGAAACCGUGUACGUACAAGCAGUGGGAGCCCCACCACUAAGCCAGUGGUGAACUCCACAUACGCAUCCUUUGCUGAGGAUACGGUUAACGGAGCGAAAGCGACGUUCAACCGCAAAAGAAGCAGAGGGGGCUUAGUGGUGGGGUGACUGCGUACCUUUUGUAUAAUGGGUCAGCGACUUAUAUUCUGUAGCAAGGUUAACCGUAUAGGGGAGCCGCAGGGAAACCGAGUCUUAACCGGGCGUUAAGUUGCAGGGUAUAGACCCGAAACCCGGUGAUCUAGCCAUGGGCAGGUUGAAGGUUGGGUAACACUAACUGGAGGACCGAACCGACUAAUGUUGAAAAAUUAGCGGAUGACCUGUGGCUGGGGGUGAAAGGCCAAUCAAACCGGGAGAUAGCUGGUUCUCCCCGAAAGCUAUUUAGGUAGCGCCUCGUGAAUUCAUCUCCGGGGGUAGAGCACUGUUUCGGCUAGGGGGCCAUCCCGGCUUACCAACCCGAUGCAAACUGCGAAUACCGGAGAAUGUUAUCACGGGAGACACACGGCGGGUGCUAACGUCCGUCGUGAAGAGGGAAACAACCCAGACCGCCAGCUAAGGUCCCAAAGUCAUGGUUAAGUGGGAAACGAUGUGGGAAGGCCCAGACAGCCAGGAUGUUGGCUUAGAAGCAGCCAUCAUUUAAAGAAAGCGUAAUAGCUCACUGGUCGAGUCGGCCUGCGCGGAAGAUGUAACGGGGCUAAACCAUGCACCGAAGCUGCGGCAGCGACACUCAGGUGUUGUUGGGUAGGGGAGCGUUCUGUAAGCCUGCGAAGGUGGCCUGUGAGGG